rnacentral:rRNA from 1 species
AGCAGCCGCGGUAAUUCCAGCUCCAAUAGCGUAUAUUAAAGUUGUUGCAGUUAAAAAGCUCGUAGUUGAAUUUCGGGAUCAAUAUGUCGGUCGUGCCUUCGGUACGUACUGGCAUCAUUGAUUUCUCCCUUCUGACGAACCAUGAUGUCAUUAAUUUGGUGUCAUGGGGAAUCAGGACUGUUACUUUGAAAAAUUAGAGUGUUUAAAGCAGGCUCACGCUUGAAUACAUUAGCAUGGAAUAAUGAAAUAGGACGUUUGACCCUAUUUUGUUGGUUUCUAGGAUCAACGUAAUGAUUAAUAGGGAUAGUUGGGGGCAUUAGUAUUCAAUUGUCAGAGGUGAAAUUCUUGGAUUUAUUGAAGACUAACUACUGCGAAAGCAUUUGCCAAGGAUGUUUUCAUUAAUCAAGAACGAAAGUUAGGGGAUCGAAGACGAUCAGAUACCGUCGUAGUCUUAACCAUAAACUAUGCCGACUAGGGAUCGGAUGAUGUUAAUUUUUAAUGACUC